UACGUAGGGUGCAAGCGUUGUCCGGAAUUAUUGGGCGUAAAGGGCUCGUAGGCGGCCAACUAAGUCAGACGUGAAAUCCCUCGGCUUAACCGGGGAACUGCGUCUGAUACUGGAUGGCUUGAGUUCGGGAGAGGGAUGUGGAAUUCCAGGUGUAGCGGUGAAAUGCGUAGAUAUCUGGAGGAACACCGGUGGCGAAGGCGGCAUCCUGGACCGACACUGACGCUGAUGAGCGAAAGCCAGGGGAGCAACGGG
rnacentral:rRNA from 1 species